CUUAUAUAUAUAUGCUUGUAGUUACUCAUUUAGGCUUAGUUUGGUAUUAUGAUCAAUCUGACACUAUUAGAUAAAAUGGAAUUGGGGUAAAAGUAUAUAAGGAUAGGCUUCUGCAUUCACCAGUAAAACCGCAAAAAAUAUAUCUUAACUGACUUAAUAUGCGAAGCGAAAUAUUACGUAUAGAAACAAACAAUAUAUUUUUUCAUCGUUCUUUCUCACCGCACGUAACGCAAUGUCUCCGCAAUCUCAAACUCGAAGCCUUAAUAGUAAGUAACACUCG
rnacentral:lncRNA from 1 species